AUACACGACAAUUUCCGCCUAAGAACGCAAUUUGGGUUUUCAAGACAAGUUGAACAAUGUUUGGAAGCAUUAAAUAGCAUAAAUUGGCUUGCUUGCACGACACAUGCAAGGGCCGGUCCUUUUAUGCCAAUUGUCCCUUACAUUGUUUUUUCAGCCCUUCAAUUGAAACAGAAUAUGCUUCUUGUUCCGUCUGCUUUAUUCUGCUUCUAACUUCCAUAAAGAUUUUACAUAUUAUUUCUGUAUAGAAAUUCAAAGAAGACAUCAACGAUGGGAAAUUGCGCUGCCCUCUCAAAUUCGGCAAGGGGUGUUUUCAAUAAAAGCAAGGCUUCACCUUCUCCUAUCGAAACCACAUUCAAGCUUCAGGCUCCAUUACCCAGCUGGCCACCUGGUGAUGGGUUCGAUCUAGGUGGAUUACAAGUAUCCCAGAUAUCAUCUUUCAGUAAAGUUUGGGCUACCCAGGAGUGAGAGAGAGAGAGAGAGGAAGAAAUGAAGUCUCAUGGACGCAGAGAGGAGGAAGAAGAGACAUGAGCCAUGGAGGAGAGAGAGAAAAAAAAAAGUGCGGCCGCUGCUAAUUAAAAAUGAAUUUGUUAGUGCAGUUAGGCUUAAGAAUGACAGUGAAACUCAGAAUGAGAAAAAACAGAGUAACAAAGAGAAAAGAGAAGGAAAGAAAUUGGGAGGAGAAAAGAGCGAGAGUGAUUCACGCGUGAAAGGAAGCAACAAGACCAAGGAAAAGAGAAGGGAAGGAGAAAAAAAAAUAUAUAAAAGAGAGAGAGGAGCAACAAGCCUAAGGAAAAUAUAAAACAAAAAGGGAGACAGAGAGAGAGAGAGAGAGAGAGAGAGAAGUGGCAGGAUUCACGUGGAAGGGAAUAGAGCGCCCCCUAGUUUUAUGUUGUUGGCAACAUUUCUAAUAAACAAUAAUAAUAAAUUAAUAAAAUAAAAUAUAUUAUA